rnacentral:rRNA from 1 species
UACGUAGGGUGCGAGCGUUGUCCGGAAUCAUUGGGCGUAAAGAGCUCGUAGGCGGUCCGUUACGUCUGUCGUGAAAGCCCGCAGCUCAACUGCGGGUCUGCGGUGGAUACGGGCGGACUGGAGUCCGACAGGGGAGACUGGAAUUCCUGGUGUAGCGGUGGAAUGCGCAGAUAUCAGGAGGAACACCGGUGGCGAAGGCGGGUCUCUGGGUCGGUACUGACGCUGAGGAGCGAAAGCGUGGGGAGCGAACAGG